AUUGAACGCUGGCGGCAGGCCUAACACAUGCAAGUCGAACGAGUGGCGGACGGGUGAGUAAUGUCUGGGAAACUGCCUGAUGGAGGGGGAUAACUACUGGAAACGGUAGCUAAUACCGCAUACCAUCGGAUGUGCCCAGAUGGGAUUAGCUAGUAGGUGGGGUAACGGCUCACCUAGGCGACGAUCCCUAGCUGGUCUGAGAGGAUGCCCAGCCACACUGGAACUGGUACACGGUCCAGACGCCUACGAGAGGCAGCAGUGGGGAAUUGUGGACAAUGGGGGCAAGCCUGAUGCAGCCAUGCCGCGUGUAUGAAGAAGUCCUUCGGGUUGUAAAGUACUUUCAGCGGGGAGGCGUUACCUGCAGAAUAAGCACCGGCUAACUCCGUGCCAGCAGCCGCGGUAAUAC
rnacentral:rRNA from 1 species